CCUACGGGAGGCUGCAGUCGAGAAUCUUCGGCAAUGGGCGGAAGCCUGACCGAGCGACGCCGCGUGGAGGACGACGGCCUUCGGGUUGUAAACUCCUGUCGGGGGGGAACAAGGGCCGGCGAAGAGCCGGCCUUGAGUGAUCCCCGGAGGAAGCACGGGCUAAGUUCGUGCCAGCAGCCGCGGUAAGACGAACCGUGCGAACGUUAUUCGGAAUCAUUGGGCUUAAAGGGCGCGUAGACGGGUGACCGCGUCGGAUGCUGAAAGCCCCCGGCUCAACCGGGGAACGGGCACCGAGACGGGUCGCCUCGAGUGGAGGAGGGGGACCUGGAACUGCCGGUGGAGCGGUGAAAUGCGUUGAGAUCGGCAGGAACGCCAACGGCGAAAGCAAGGUCCUGGACUCUAACUGACGUUGAGGCGCGAAAGCCAGGGGAGCGAACGGG
rnacentral:rRNA from 1 species